rnacentral:rRNA from 1 species
CAGUCGCCGCGGUAAUACGUAGGGUGCGAGCGUUGUCCGGAAUUAUUGGGCGUAAAGGGCUCGUAGGCGGUUUGUCGCGUCGGGAGUGAAAUCCACUGGCUUAACUGGUGGCUUGCUUUCGAUACGGGCAGACUGGAGGUAUGCAGGGGAGAACGGAAUUCCUGGUGUAGCGGUGAAAUGCGCAGAUAUCAGGAGGAACACCGGUGGCGAAGGCGGUUCUCUGGGCAUGUCCUGACGCUGAGGAGCGAAAGUGUGGGGAGCGAACAGGAUUAGAUACCCGUGUAGUCCCUGUCUCUUAUAC